UGUCACUUUCUCUUCCACUGUCACCUUCGUUUACCCACCAUCCACCACCACCUCCCACCACCAUUAACCCAUUAUCAAAGUAAAUUGUUUUGAGUUUUCAAAACCCACAUGCAUGCGAAUCAAAUACCCUAAAAAUUCUAUUCAUCAAUCUGCUCAUUAACUAGUUUGGUGUUUUGUUGGUGAAGCUUUUUCAGAAACUAAUGAUGAUGGUGUUUAGAGAGGGAGAGAGAGAAAGGGAAAGGGAAAGAGUUUAAAGAGAGGGUGGUGGUAGAUCUGACAGUUUCCCCAAAAUAAUAUCUGAAUUAGUUUCUAAAUCAAUUGUUAAUGAUUUCCCCCAAAUUAAUUCCGACCCAGAUGAAGUCCUGCUUCUAGACUUACUCCCCAAGUGUUUACACAUUGUAUUUAACUCCGACGAGAUCGAUACGGUCAACGCGGUGUUUGAUCGGGCCUUGGAGUUUAACUCCGACGAGAUCGAUACGGUCAACGUGGUAUUGUAUCUGAAUUAGAAUUCAAAAUCUGUUUUUUUUUGUUGUGAUAAUCGAGAAAAAUAAUUUGUUUGUUGAUUAUCGAAGAAAGAAGAAAAAGUGCAGGUUUUGUGUUUAAUGAAGAAGAAAGGCAUAUAUCUUCAAGUUUUACGAAUAGAAGUGACUUCCAGAUCUGAUUCUGAAUACGACUAGAUCUGAGUUGCAGGUUAUAUGAAGAUAGAUCUGUGAUUAAAAAAGGCUGAAGAUAUUGAAAAAGAAGCCGAUUUGAAAGUUACGACUGAAAAAAAAAAUCGUUGUUUUCUCGAGUGGAAAUCGGAUUGAUUAUUUGUUGUUUUAUGACUGGAUCUGAAACGAUUUAGAAUGAAUUAAGAUUUGCAGGUCUGAUAUUGAAUAUAGAUUCUUGAGUUGCAGCUGAUAUUUUUGUUGAACCGGAGAAGAGAUGGGGUGAGAGAGUGAGGGGUGAAGGGUUGUUAAAUUAUUAUUUUUUUUAUUUUGUAUUUUAAUUAGAUUGGUAAAAAGACCAAAGUGCCCUUAUAUAAAUAGACUUAACUAAAAUUGUAAACCUAGUUAGUGCUAAAGGAUGAAAGAUGUAACGAGUUUUCCAAAUAAAGGAUUGUGACUGUAACUAUUGAAGCUAAAGGUUAUCCAUUGUAAUCCGGUAUAAACAUAAAAGUGUAAUUUAUCAUUUUUUUUUAAGUAUUUAGG
rnacentral:lncRNA from 1 species